AACGAACGCUGGCGGCAUGCCUAACACAUGCAAGUCGAACGAGACCUUCGGGUCUAGUGGCGCACGGGUGCGUAACGCGUGGGAACCUGCCCUUAGGUUCGGAAUAACUCCCCGAAAGGGAUGCUAAUACCGGUUAAUGUCUUCGGACCAAAGAUUUAUCGCCUUUGGAUGGGGCCGCGUUGGAUUAGCUAGUUGGUAGGGUAAAAGCCUACCAAGGCGACGAUCCAUAGCUGGUCUGAGAGGAUGAUCAGCCACACUGGGACUGAGACACGGCCCAGACUCCUACGGGAGGCAGCAGUGGGGAAUAUUGGACAAUGGGCGAAAGCCUGAUCCAGCAAUGCCGCGUGAGUGAUGAAGGCCUUAGGGUUGUAAAGCUCUUUUACCCGGGAUGAUAAUGACAGUACCGGGAGAAUAAGCUCCGGCUAACUCCGUG
rnacentral:rRNA from 1 species